GAUGAACGCUGGCGGCGUGCCUAAUACAUGCAAGUCGAGCGAACAGAUAAGGAGCUUGCUCCUUUGACGUUAGCGGCGGACGGGUGAGUAACACGUGGGUAACCUACCUAUAAGACUGGAAUAACUCCGGGAAACCGGGGCUAAUGCCGGAUAACAUUUAGAACCGCAUGGUUCUAAAGUGAAAGAUGGUUUUGCUAUCACUUAUAGAUGGACCCGCGCCGUAUUAGCUAGUUGGUAAGGUAACGGCUUACCAAGGCAACGAUACGUAGCCGACCUGAGAGGGUGAUCGGCCACACUGGAACUGAGACACGGUCCAGACUCCUACGGGAGGCAGCAGUAGGGAAUCUUCCGCAAAGGGCGAAAGCCCGACGGAGCAACGCCGCGUGAGUGAUGAAGGUCUUCGGAUCGUAAAACUCUGUUAUUAGGGAAGAACAAAUGUGUAAGUAACUGUGCACGUCUUGACGGUACCUAAUCAGAAAGCCACGGCUAACUACGUG
rnacentral:rRNA from 1 species